rnacentral:rRNA from 1 species
UACGUAGGGUGCGAGCGUUGCCCGGAUUUAUUGGGCGUAAAGGGCGCGCAGGCGGCUACGCACGUCCGUUGUGAAAUCGCUCGGCUCAAACUGGGCGGGGUCAGCGGAUACGGGCGUGGCUGGAGGCAAGCUAGGGGCAAUGGAAUUCCCGGGUGUAGUGGUGGAAUGCGUAGAUAUCGGGAGGAACACCAGUGGCGAAGGCGGUUGCCUGGAGCUUUGGCUGACGCUGAGGCGCGAAAGCGUGGGGAGCGGAGUCCGGA